rnacentral:rRNA from 1 species
GGUGAACGCUGGCGGCGUGCCUAAGACAUGCAAGUCGAGCGGGCCGCGGGGUUUUACUCCGUGGUCAGCGGCGGACGGGUGAGUAACGCGUGGGUGACCUACCCGGGAGAGGGGGACAACCCGGGGAAACUCGGGCUAAUCCCCCAUGUGGACCCGCCCCUUGGGGUGUGUCCAAAGGGCUUUGCCCGCUUCCGGAUGGGCCCGCCUCCCAUCAGCUAGUUUGUUGGGUAAUGGCCCACCAAGGCCACGACGGGUAGCCGGCCUGAGAGGGGGGCCGGCCACAGGGGCACCGAGACACGGGCCCCACUCCUACGGGAGGAGGCAGUUAGGAAUCUUCCGCAAUGGGCGAAAGCCUGCCGGAGCGACGCCGCUGGGAGGGAGAAGCACUUCGGGGUGUAAACUCAUGAACCCAGGACGAAACCCCCGACGAGGGGACGGACGGUACCGGGGUAAUAGCGCCGGCCAACUCCGUG